UGGGGAAUAUUGCGCAAUGGGGGAAACCCUGACGCAGCAACGCCGCGUGAAGGAUGAAGGUUUUCGGAUCGUAAACUUCUUUGAUUGGGGACGAAGAAAGUGACGGUACCCAAAAAACAAGCCACGGCUAACUACGUGCCAGCAGCCGCGGUAAUACGUAGGUGGCGAGCGUUGUCCGGAAUUACUGGGUGUAAAGGGCGUGUAGGCGGGAAUGCAAGUCAGAUGUGAAAUACCAUGGCUCAACUGUGGGGCUGCACCUGAAACUGUGUUUCUUGAGUGCUGGAGAGGAAAGCGGAAUUCCUAGUGUAGCGGUGAAAUGCGUAGAUAUUAGGAGGAACACCAGUGGCGAAGGCGGCUUUCUGGACAGUAACUGACGCUGAGGCGCGAAAGCGUGGGGAGCAAACAGG
rnacentral:rRNA from 2 species